AGAGUUUGAUUCUGGCUCAGGGUUAACGCUGGCGGCGUGCCUAACACAUGCAAGUCGAACGGUUCUAAGCGCGAGCUUAGGAUAGUGGCGAACGGGUGAGUAAAAGGUAGGAAUCUACCCCUUGGACGGAGAUAGCUACUGGAAACGGUAGGUAAACUUCGAUAAGCCCGAGAGGGGAAAGUGGUGAGACAGCCGAGGGAUGAGCCUACUCUCCAUCAGGUAGUUGGUGAGAUAAAAGCUUACCAAGCCGAUGACGGAUAACCGGUGUGAGAGCAUGAACGGUCACAAGGGCACUGAGAGACGGGCCCUACUCCUACGGGAGGCAGCAGUGGGGAAUCUUGGACAAUGGGCGAAAGCCUGAUCCAGCGACGCCGCGUGGAGGAAGAAGUCCUUCGGGAUGUAAACUUCUGAACUAGCCGAAUAAAAGGCCUGUGGACACACAGGAGAAGAAAGUAGGCUAGGAAAAGUCCCGGCUAACUACGUGCCAGCAGCCGCGGUAAGACGUAGGGGGCAAGCGUUACCCGGAAUUACUGGGCGUAAAGGGGGCGUAGGCGGUAAAAGAAGUCAUCUGUGAAAACCUAUUGCCCAACGAUAGGCUAGCGGAUGAAACUGAAUUACUUGAGGGCACCAGAGGUAGGCGGAAUUACCCGAGUAGGGGUGAAAUCCGCAGAUACGGGUAGGAACGCCGGUGGAGAAGUCGGUCUACUGGGGUGCACCAGACGCUGAGGCCCGAAAGCUAGGGGAGCAAACCGGAUUAGAUACCCGGGUAGUCCUAGCCGUAAACGAUGCUCACUAGGUGUAGGGAGUGAUAAACUCUCUGUGCUGAAGCGAACGCGCUAAGUGAGCCGCCUGGGGAGUGCGUCCGCAAGGAUGAAACUCAAAGGAAUGACGGAAG
rnacentral:rRNA from 1 species